rnacentral:misc_RNA from 1 species
UGUGGGAGCGAGCUUGCUCGCGAUGGCGUCGGUUCUGCAGCAUUGAUGGUGACUGACACACCGCUAUCGCGAGCAAGCUCGUUCCCACA